AAUGAACGCUGGCGGCGUGCUUAAUACAUGCAAGUCGAACGAGAAAGAGACCUUCGGGUUUUGAGUAGAGUGGCGCACGGGUGAGUAACGCGUAAGUAAUCUGCCUUUAAGUUUGGGAUAACAUUUCGAAAGGAGUGCUAAUACCGGAUAAGACCACGGUUGGGUAAUCAAUUGUGGUAAAAGAUAGCCGUAAGGCUUUCACUUAGAGAUGAGCUUGCGUACCAUUAGUUGUUGGUGGGGUAAAGGCCUACCAAGGCGAUGAUGGUUAGCUGGUCUGAGAGGACGAUCAGUCACACUGGAACUGAGACACGGUCCAGACUCCUACGGGAGGCAGCAGUAGGGAAUUUGCGCAAUGGGGGCAACCCUGACGCAGCGACGCCGCGUGAGUGAAGAAGGCCUUCGGGUUGUAAAGCUCUGUCAGAAGGGACGAAUAAGCGGAGUCUAAUAGGCUUUCGUGAUGACGGUACCUUCAGAGGAAGCACCGGCUAACUCUGUG
rnacentral:rRNA from 1 species